GGACACAAGCUCCAUCAGCUUUCAGAGAUACGUGUUUUGGGGGCACAUCUUUUAGGAGGAUCACCACAUGCGGGUGCUUUCAAUACUGGGAAUGUCAUCUGGGAAAAUACAGCAUCUGCUUGGCCCUGAAACCACAGGUGAAAGCUACAUGGAUAUGGGAGCAAGGUACAAAUGUAAUGGCCAACAAGGGGCAUGACCCAUU